ensembl:ncRNA B0457.14 ncRNA
CUGCGCACACGCACUAUUUCGUGAAAAGCAACAAAAAGUCGACGAGUGCUUUCAAUUAGACGCAACCAGUAAGCCUUCUUUUCUUUUUCCGAGUGCGCAGGUGUCUUUACUUCCACUUUUUUGCUCGUUUUU